UCCUCGGUUAAGUCUAGGACAGAGAAAUACUUCUCUAUCUGUAGGAUCCAAGCAUUGACUACUAAGGGGUCAGGACCACUUUCAAAGUGUGGUGGCUUAAUCUUCAUAAACUCCAGUAUGUUGUGAGAGAUAGACCUUUUGAUUGUUCGAUAUUCCAGGGCAAGGUGCUAACAAAGGUUGUCGUGAUUCUAUUCUACUACUGCGGUUAGUCUUUAGAUAACUCAGAAGAGUAAACUUGGCCCUGGUUGGAUGGUCUUGGGCCUUGGGCCUUGGGUCUUUCGAUACGUUCUAUAGAAGGCUCUCUCGCAU
rnacentral:lncRNA from 1 species